rnacentral:rRNA from 1 species
CCACGAAGUUGGAUUCGCUAGUAAUCGCGCAUCAGCCAUGGCGCGGUGAAUACGUUCCCGGGCCUUGUACACACCGCCCGUCAAGCCAUGGGAGCCGGGGGCGCCUGAAGUCCGGGACCGCGAGGACCGGCCUAGGGCGAAACUGGUAACUGGGGCUAAGUCGUAACAAGGUACC